CACCACCUCAAAUGGUACUGUAUCACAACAUUCACUGUUACAUUUUCUAUAAUUUGUUUUGUUUCUACCAAGCUUUGCUGUUUAGAAAUGUAUGGACAACUUGGUUGAUUACAUGGUUCAAUGUCUAUAAAGAAAGAUAUAAAUAAUGGCAUUAUGUAUUGGAAAAGAGUUCUGCUUUCUGUCUGUUGUCCAUGUUUCUAUAACAACAGGGUUCUAGACUUUAACGGCUUGUCCUGGAUAUGAACCAGGGUUCUAGGGAACGUAUGUUUGGAUGGUGACCAAUAAUGGAUCUGUCGGUCGGAGGAGGACUGGGUCGGAAGACUUUCCUCCAUCGAGCCGCGGCCUCUCAGCGAAGCGACAUUGGACAAGAAACCAGGCGAGGGCCGGACGAAACAGGCCCAGGCGAUCAACACUGGUACACUAGGUACAUCAUGAGGGAAGCAGAGGGCCGUGUUUGGACAGCUGCACCCAUGCACCUGGCUGUAGUGGCCUGCGGACAGAGACUAGAGGAGACUCUCACCAUGCUGAAGUCUGCUGUUAUGCUCAGCAUCAAACCACUGUGCCUACACAUCUUCGCUGAAGACCAGCUGCACGCCAGCUUUAUAGAAGCUUUAGAGUCGUGGCCAAGUUCGUUCCGCUCCAGGUUUAACUACACUCUGUACCCCAUCACCUUUCCCCAUGAGAAUGCUGGAGAGUGGAAGAAGCUCUUCAAACCAUGUGCUUCUCAGAGACUCUUCCUACCUCUCAUCCUAAAGGAGGUGGAUUCUCUAGUCUACGUGGACUCGGACAUCUUGUUCCUCCAGCCUGUCGACGCUCUGUGGUCCCUGCUAGCUCACUUCAACGCUAGCCAGCUGGCCGCCAUGGCGCCGGAGCACGAGGAGCCACGCAUCGCCUGGUACAGCCGCCGCCCGCCACCCCUACUAUGGCAGGACGGGCAUCAACUCUGGAGUCAUGCUCAUGAACAUGACACGCAUCAGGGCCACACACUUCAAGAAUGACAUGACGUCAGUGGGUCUGAGGUGGGAGGAGCUGCUGAUGCCCCUACUGCAGAAAUAUAAACUAAACAUGACCUGGGGAGACCAGGACCUGCUCAACAUCAUCUUCCAUCACAACCCUGAGUGUCUGUUGGAAGUUCCCUGCCACUGGAACUACCGUCCAGACCACUGUAUCUACGGCAGUAACUGUGGCUCCGCGGAGGAGGAGGGUAUCUUUAUCCUGCACGGGAACAGAGGAGUGUACCAUGACCUCAAACAGCCUGCCUUCAGGGCCGUCUACGACGCCAUACGACAGUACUCAUUUAGGGAGGAUCCUGUGAGCUCUCUGCUGGUCCCACUGGAAGAAGAGCUGUUGAAGACUACCCGUUCAUACUGUGGUAAAUCACAUGUUCUGUUUACUAAGAGACUGGCUCACAGCCUGGCCAACGUCAACAGAGAUGCUCAGCGUCCACAUGGACGGUAGUCUGAUGUCCUGGGCCUCUAUGCUGUCCUAUAGUGUUGUCAUGGUCAGAGAUGGUAGCCUGGGUACUGUUCAUUAGAGCACACUGUAGCAAAACCUUUUGCAACGGAAAACUAAAAUGGGUGUUUCUUAUUGGACAAGUUGAGCUAGUGCCUACUCUGUUUCAUUUCGUCGUCUUCUGUUUCAUGACUACUUGGCACCUACAGUGUCUACAGCUACAUGGUGGAAGGAAUUUAUUUUUAUAUUUUUAUUUAACUAGGCAAGUCAAUUAAGAACAAAUUCUUAUUUUACAAUGACUGCCUACCCCGGCCCAACCCUCCCCUAACCCGGACGACGCUGGGCCAGUUGCGGGCCACCCUAUGGGACUCCUGAUCACGGCCGGUUGUGAUACAGCCCGGGAUCAAACCAGGGUCUGUAGUGACGCCUCUAGCAUCGAGAUGCAGUGUCUUAGACCGCUGCGCCACUCGGGAGGAAGAGACUACAUGGACGUUGGUGACUUCAUAUGCUGGAGAUACAUGCUGUGUGUGAAGAAUGACACCGCUGUCAUCACUACAGACCCCAUAUCCUGUUCAGCGUUUCUCUGGUCAUAGUCAUCUGUAUAGUAGGCUAUAUGGCAUUUCCAAUGCUGAUGAGGCUCUUCUUUAAUAGUGCUGUCUGCUGUAUUCAAGAGGCCUUGCUAUCCAUAUUGGAGAAUUUGCCACAAUGGUCUUAUCCGGCCUGCAGAACAUGACUAAACUCAAUCAGCCUUUCUAAGCUAAAUGGUACCUCUCCUAUU